rnacentral:tRNA from 1 species
AAUUUGCCUGGCGGCCGUAGCGCGGUGGUCCCACCUGACCCCAUGCCGAACUCAGAAGUGAAACGCCGUAGCGCCGAUGGUAGUGUGGGGUCUCCCCAUGCGAGAGUAGGGAACUGCCAGGCAUCAAAUUUAGCGUGCUGAUAUGGCUCAGUUGGUAGAGCGCACCCUUGGUAAGGGUGAGGUCCCCAGUUCGACUCUGGGUAUCAGCACCACUUUUUAGGUUAAAGUUCGGCAGAUUAGAAAAGAAUUUGUCUGGCGGCAGUAGCGCGGUGGUCCCACCUGACCCCAUGCCGAACUCAGAAGUGAAACGCCGUAGCGCCGAUGGUAGUGUGGGGUCUCCCCAUGCGAGAGUAGGGAACUGCCAGGCAUCAAAUUAUGCAAAAAGGCCAUCCUGACGGAUGGCCUUUUUGCAUUGGCGCAGAAAAAAAUGCCUGAUGCGACGCUGCGCGUCUUAUACUCCCACAUAUGCCAGAUUCAGCAACGGAUACGGCUUCCCCAACUUGCCCACUUCCAUACGUGUCCUCCUUACCAGAAAUUUAUCCUUAAGCUCCUCAAUAACCAUUUUCCUGCUAACUAAAUUCAUGGUUAAGGUUGCAUAAUGAUAUGCAACAAAUGUAUAACAUUUCCUUUACCAAAAA